rnacentral:rRNA from 1 species
AUUGAACGCUGGCGGCAGGCCUAACACAUGCAAGUCGAGCGGUAGCACAGAGAGCUUGCUCUCGGGUGACGAGCGGCGGACGGGUGAGUAAUGUCUGGGAAACUGCCUGAUGGAGGGGGAUAACUACUGGAAACGGUAGCUAAUACCGCAUAACGUCGCAAGACCAAAGUGGGGGACCUUCGGGCCUCAUGCCAUCAGAUGUGCCCAGAUGGGAUUAGCUAGUAGGUGGGGUAACGGCUCACCUAGGCGACGAUCCCUAGCUGGUCUGCGAGGAUGACCAGCCAAACUGGAACUGAGACACGGUCCAGACUCCUACGGGAGGCAGAAGUGGGGAAUAUUGCACAAUGGGCGCAAGCCUGAUUCAGCCAUGCCGCGUGUGUGAAGGAGGCCUUCGGGUUGUAAAGCACUUUCAGCGGGGAGGAAGGCGGUGAGGUUAAUAACCUCAUCGAUUGACGUUACCCGCAGAAGAAGCACCGGCUAACUCCGUGCCAGCCGCCGCAGUAA